AUUGAACGCUGGCGGAAUGCUUUACACAUGCAAGUCGAACGGCAGCACGGACUUCGGUCUGGUGGCGAGUGGCGAACGGGUGAGUAAUACAUCGGAACGUGCCCAGUCGUGGGGGAUAACGUAGCGAAAGCUACGCUAAUACCGCAUACGAUCUAAGGAUGAAAGCGGGGGAACGCAAGACCUCGCGCGAUUGGAGCGGCCGAUGGCAGAUAAGGUAGUUGGUGGGGUAAAGGCUCACCAAGCCGACGAUAUGUAGCUGGUCUGAGAGGACGACCAGCCACACUGGGACUGAGACACGGCCCAGACUCCUACGGGAGGCAGCAGUGGGGAAUUUUGGACAAUGGGCGCAAGCCUGAUCCAGCCAUUCCGCGUGCAGGAUGAAGGCCCUCGGGUUGUAAACUGCUUUUGUACGGAACGAAAAGGCUCUGGUUAAUACCCGGGACUCAUGACGGUACCGUAAGAAUAAGCACCGGCUAACUACGUGCCAGCCGCCGCGGUAA
rnacentral:rRNA from 1 species